UGGAACUGAGACACGGUCCAAACUCCUACGGGAGGCAGCAGUGGGGAAUAUUGCACAAUGGGCGAAAGCCUGAUGCAGCAACGCCGCGUGAGUGAUGAAGGCCUUCGGGUCGUAAAACUCUGUCCUCAAGGAAGAUAAUGCCGGUACUUGAGGAGGAAGCCCCGGCUAACUACGUGCCAGCAGCCGCGGUAAUACGUAGGGGGCUAGCGUUAUCCGGAUUUACUGGGCGUAAAGGGUGCGGAGGCGGUCUUUCAAGUCAGGAGUGAAAGGCUACGGC
rnacentral:rRNA from 1 species